GCUCAGAUUGAACGCUGGCGGCAGGCCUAACACAUGCAAGUCGAACGGUAGCACAGAGAGCUUGCUCUUGGGUGACGAGUGGCGGACGGGUGAGUAAUGUCUGGGAAACUGCCCGAUGGAGGGGGAUAACUACUGGAAACGGUAGCUAAUACCGCAUAACGUCUUCGGACCAAAGUGGGGGACCUUCGGGCCUCACACCAUCGGAUGUGCCCAGAUGGGAUUAGCUAGUAGGUGGGGUAACGGCUCACCUAGGCGACGAUCCCUAGCUGGUCUGAGAGGAUGACCAGCCACACUGGAACUGAGACACGGUCCAGACUCCUACGGGAGGCAGCAGUGGGGAAUAUUGCACAAUGGGCGCAAGCCUGAUGCAGCCAUGCCGCGUGUAUGAAGAAGGCCUUCGGGUUGUAAAGUACUUUCAGUGGGGAGGAAGGCGAAGAAGUUAAUAACCUUNUCGAUUGACGUUACCCGCAGAAGAAGCACCGGCUAACUCCGUGCC
rnacentral:rRNA from 1 species